rnacentral:rRNA from 2 species
CCUACGGGAGGCAGCAGUGGGGAAUUUUGCGCAAUGGGGGAAAGCCUGACGCAGCAACGCCGCGUGAGUGAUGAAGGCCUUCGGGUCGUAAAGCCCUGUCAGAGGGGAAGAACAACCUGUCGGAUAAUACCUGGCAGGCCUGACGGUACCCUCAGAGGAAGCACCGGCUAACUCCGUGCCAGCAGCCGCGGUAAU